UAGGGAAUCUUCCGCAAUGGGCGAAAGGUGACGGAGCAACGCGCGUGAGUAAUGAAGGUCUUCGGAUCGUAAAACUCUGUUAUUAGGGAAGAACAUAUGUGUAAGUAACUGUGCACAUCUUGACGGUACCUAAUCAGAAAGCCACGGCUAAUUACGUGCCAGCAGCCGCGGUAAUACGUAGGUGGCAAGCGUUAUCCGGAAUUAUUGGGCGUAAAGGGCGCGUAGCCGUUUUUUUAAGUCUGAUGUGAAAGCCCACGGUUCAACCGGGGAGGGGUCAUUUGGAAACUGGAAAACUUGAGUGCAGAAAAAGGAAAGUGGAAUUCCCAUGUUGUGCCGGUGGAAAUGGCGCAGAGGAUAUGGAGGAACACCAGGUGGCGAAGGCAACUUUCNUGGGCCUGNAAACUGACGGCUGAUGUGCGAAGCGUGGGGGGAUCCAAACAGGAAUUAGAAUACCNUGNAAGUCCCACGNCUGUAAACGAUGAGUNCUAGUUGUUAGGGGGNUUUUCCNCCCCCUAAGUGCUGCNGCUAAACGCANUUAAGCACUCCGCCUUGGGGAGUACGACCGCAAGGUUG
rnacentral:rRNA from 1 species